rnacentral:rRNA from 1 species
CAGCCGCCACGGGAACACGAAGGGUGCAAGCGUUAAUCGGAAUUACUGGGCGUAAAGCGUGCGUAGGCGGUGAGUUAAGUCUGCUGUGAAAUCCCCGGGCUCAACCUGGGAAUGGCAGUGGAUACUGGCUCGCUAGAGUGUGUCAGAGGAUGGUGGAAUUCCCGGUGUAGCGGUGAAAUGCGUAGAGAUCAGAAGGAACACCUGUGGCGAAAGCGGCUCACUGGACCAUAACUGACGCUGAGGCGCGAAAGCUAGGGGAGCAAACAGGAUUAGAUACCCCCGUAGUCCCUGUCUCUUAUAC